rnacentral:rRNA from 1 species
CAGUCGCCGCGGGAAAACGUAGGUGGCAAGCGUUGUCCGGAAUUAUUGGGCGUAAAGGGCUCGCAGGCGGUUUCUUAAGUCUGAUGUGAAAGCCCCCGGCUCAAUCGGGGAGGGUCAUUGGAAACUGGGAAACUUGAGUGCAGAAGAGGAGAGUGGAAUUCCACGUGUAGCGGUGAAAUGCGUAGAGAUGUGGAGGAACAGCAGUGGCGAAGGCGACUCUCUGGUCUGUAACUGACGCUGAGGAGCGAAAGCGUGGGGAGCGAACAGGAUUAGAUACCCCAGUAGUCCCUGUCUCUUAUAC